GGUGAUAUAGCUCAGUUGGUUAGAGCACAGCAUUCAUAAUGCUGGGGUCGGUGGUUCAAGCCCCCCUAUCACCACCA
rnacentral:tRNA from 1 species